rnacentral:rRNA from 1 species
UACGUAGGGGUCUAGCGUUGUCCGGAAUCAUUGGGCGUAAAGAGCUCGUAGGCGGUUCGGCAAGUCGGAUGUGAAAUCUCCACGCUCAACGUGGAGGGGCCAUUCGAAACUGCCGUGACUCGAGUCCGGUAGGGGAGUGCGGAAUUCCCGGUGUAGCGGUGAAAUGCGCAGAUAUCGGGAGGAACACCAGUGGCGAAGGCGGGUUGCUGGGCUGACACUGACGCUGAUGCGCGAAAGCUAGGGGAGCGAACGGG